CGAACGGGUGAGUAACGCGUGAGGAACCUGCCUCAAAGAGGGGGACAACAGUUGGAAACGACUGCUAAUACCGCAUAAGCCCACGGCUCGGCAUCGAGCAGAGGGGAAAGGAACAAUCCGCUUUGAGAUGGCCUCGCGUCCGAUUAGCUAGUUGGUGAGGUAACGGCCCACCAAGGCGACGAUCGGUAGCCGGACUGAGAGGUUGAACGGCCACAUUGGGACUGAGACACGGCCCAG
rnacentral:rRNA from 1 species